rnacentral:rRNA from 1 species
GAUGAACGCUGGCGGCGUGCCUAAUACAUGCAAGUCGAGCGAACGGACGAGAAGCUUGCUUCUCUGAUGUUAGCGGCGGACGGGUGAGUAACACGUGGAUAACCUACCUAUAAGACUGGGAUAACUUCGGGAAACCGUAGCUAAUACCGGAUAAUAUUUUGAACCGCAUGGUUCAAAAGUGAAAGACGGUCUUGCUGUCACUUAUAGAUGGAUCCGCGCUGCAUUAGCUAGUUGGUAAGGUAACGGCUUACCAAGGCAACGAUGCAUAGCCGACCUGAGAGGGUGAUCGGCCACACUGGAACUGAGACACGGUCCAGACUCCUACGGGAGGCAGCAGUAGGGAAUCUUCCGCAAAGGGCGAAAGCCUGACGGAGCAACGCCGCGUGAGUGAUGAAGGUCUUCGGAUCGUAAAACUCUGUUAUUAUGGAAGAACAUAUGUGUAAGUAACUGUGCACAUCUUGACGGUACCUAAUCAGAAAGCCACGGCUAACUACGUG